CUCUCUUCCUCUCUCAUUCUCUCCACCAGGAUUUGUUUUUCUCUCAUCUGAUAAGAUCUGAUAAGAAAUCAGAACUUUGUAAACCUAGAAAAACUCUGCUCCUCUCUCGUUCUCUUCUCUACCAAAAAAAAGUUCCCUCAUCUGAUUAAGAAAUCAGAACUUUAUAAACCUAGAAAACCCUUUUUCGGUAAUAAGCCCUAAUUUCUUUCCUAAUUUCUUAAACCCUAGAAAAUUACUCUGAUUACCUACAUAUUUGAGAUUCAAGAAGAAGAUUCAGGUAGAUCCUUACCUGUAAAUCUGAUAUCUGAUUUCAAUAUUUGGUUUUUGGAUUUGUAAUUGUGUUUAUUCUAACUGUCAAUCGUACUGAGGUAGAGACAUGAUUGCUCAAGCUCAAUCUGGUAUUGGAAAAAAGUUCUUUGAUUGCUCUUAUUGUUUGUCAAAUCGUUGAUACUUCUAAUCGAGAGUCAGUUCUGAAAAACUCAAACCCUUUGUGUUUAGUUUGAUUUUGUAAUCUUUCAUUUCUUCUAAUCAUUGUAUUUUACUGUUACGGAGGAGUACCCAGAGGAGGAAGUGAUUGAGAAGAUCAUAUAUAAUAAUAGUGGAGAGCAUUUUUUAGAAACCAGUUCAAGAGCAUGGAAAAUGAGAAGUCCUUGAAACUGUUGUGGAGAUUAAAAAUAGGCAUGAGGCUGCUAAAGAGAUUGAAAGGAGUCUAUUGGGGCUUUACCAAGCCAAGGUUUGUCAGAGAAGAAACAGAAAGUGUAUGUGUAUGGGUUUGGUAUUACUUCUUAUCCUUAUCCUUGUGACUGUUAUCCCCAUUGUCACCAGUUUCAAGAGCUCUCAGGAAUCUACUUGUGCUACUGUAUAAAUGAAAAGAAAAGAAGAUAUGUAGUGUUUAUGUAUAUUGAUUUUCCAGUAAUUCAGUUUUUGGUUUUCUUACUUAGUUGGAGUUGUGCUCAAGCUCUUUACAUUAUAGGAAUUAGAAGUGUUCUUUUGAAUAUUUUUUCUGAGGGAUUGUAUAAACAUAAACUUGUGAUUGCAGUGGAUUUUUAUGCUACUUUGCACUGCGUUGCUUCUGCAUGGAUUCAAAACAACAAUAUCUCAGUGUGGAUGUUAAUGGAUGGAGGUGCCAUAUCACAACUUGGGUUAUGGAUGUUUGAUUUGUCUGUCACGCAACAAGUGCAGGAUCCAGUUCCAGAUUCAGAUCGUCGCUUCGUUGGAGGAGUACAGAACUCACUGCAUUAUUAUUCAAUCUAUUGUCGUACUUUAUGAGUAUAAUCAUCACAAAACCGAAGAUUGAGAGAACACCAAAGUCUAUGAUGCUGGCGGGGAACUGAUUCGGCAAAAGGUCAAGGUUUGGUGGCCCCAUGACAAUAAGUUUUAUCAAGGCACGAUCGAGUCUUAUAAUCGUAAUCAGAAAAUCACAAGGUUGUGUAUUUAGACGGCGAGAUAGAAAAAUUGGAACCGAAGAAGGAAAAAUGGGAAGUUAUUGAAUAGUUUGAACCAAAAGUAGAUAUUAACUCGAUAGUACGAUUAUAUAUUGAUUUUAUAGUUUUUAUAACUCAUUUUAUAUUUCUGACAAGAAGAAUGAGUCUCUGAAAUCAAACUUUCCCGUUAUUUUUAUGGAAAUCCUUAGUUGACUAUUGAUUGUCUUGAGUUUUUUGAUAUGAAGUUGGAUUCUCAUCAUUUUGAUUAUGGAAAUAUCUUUUCAUGAAAGGCUUAUAUGACACUUUUGCUAGUUGGCUUGAAAUACAAAAUGGUCUUAUAUAGUAGCCUACAUGUACUCUAAAGUCACCAAGAAAAUAUGGGAUCUAACAAUAAGCAAGAAAUAGCAUAAUUAGAAAUCAGAAAAGGACAAACAUAAUUUUAAGUUAUACCCAUACUUUGAUUAGCAAUCAAAAUGCAUAUGUCAUAAUUUUAAGUUAUACCCAAUCAGAAAUGGUCUUAUAUAGUAUUUCUCGUGAUACAAUACUAGUGCAGUUUUUGUCUUCUUUAAGUGUUGUUGUUAAUUUAAGUGUUGUUGUUAAUUUGUGGUUUGGUACUUUACCAGGCAUCAAAAGAAAAAAGGGAAAAAGGAAUUGGAUUCCUCAACCUCGCAAACAAAGAGAGACACUUCAACCAAAGGGUAAGUUACUGUGACCUCAUCUUAUGUGGAUUGGAGGAAACUAAUGCUUAGAGCUUCCUGUUCCUUUGUGUUAUGUGGUAGGUGGGAAAGUGUUUCAGUGAAAAAUUCUGACCUAUCUGGUAAUUCUAGGGACAGUAAUAACAAAUAAAAGGACAAUAACAGUAAGGGAAGCAAGUCCAGCGAUGAGAUAUCUACCAAAGCCAAGUAAAAUGCAUAUGACAUCAGUAUUUGUGCUGCAAGAAGUUCUAUAAUUUUGUUCUCAUUAUGAUUCAUUCUUUGUUGUGCUUCUAGCUAGUAGUAUAUUAAGUAGUAACUUGCACUUUAAAGUUAUUUUGUUGACAGGGAUGAGUAUUAUGCAUGAGGACUGCAUCAGAUAUCUAAGGCUGAGCUUUCUUAAUAGCAACUGCAAACUAGUAAGAGAUUUUACUUGGAUAGUAACACCUUUGUUUCCUUGUGUUCACAGGAAAGUAUACUUGAUUAGUAGCUGGCUGGCUCUCUUGGUCAAUGCAUCUACAAGUCAGGUUCACCAAUGGUUCCAUGUUUUAAUUCGGUUUGAUACUGAAUUGUUUUAUUUACUUAUAUUUUUUGGCAGUUUCUCAAUAAGAAUGUAUACUUCCAGAUUUCUGUAGUGUUAUGUAAUU